rnacentral:rRNA from 1 species
UACGGAGGGGGCUAGCGUUGUUCGGAAUUACUGGGCGUAAAGGGCGCGUAGGCGGUUCAUCAAGUCGGGCGUGAAAGGCCUGGGCUCAACCCGGGAAUGGCGCUCGAGACUGGUGAGCUUGGAGUCCGGGAGAGGAUGGUGGAAUUCCCAGUGUAGAGGUGAAAUUCGUAGAUAUUGGGAAGAACACCGGUGGCGAAGGCGGCCAUCUGGACCGGUACUGACGCUGAGGCGCGAAAGCGUGGGGAGCAAACAGG